rnacentral:rRNA from 1 species
UACGUAGGGUGCGAGCGUUAAUCGGAAUUACUGGGCGUAAAGCGUGCGCAGGCGGUGAUGUAAGACAGUUGUGAAAUCCCCGGGCUCAACCUGGGAACUGCAUCUGUGACUGCAUCGCUGGAGUGCGGCAGAGGGGGAUGGAAUUCCGCGUGUAGCAGUGAAAUGCGUAGAUAAUGCGGAGGAACACCGAUGGCGAAGGCAAUCCC